GUGAAUCAUCGAAUCUUUGAACGCAAAUUGCACUUUCUGGUAUUCCGGAAAGUAUGCCUGUUUGAGGGUCAGUUAAAUAAAAAUCGGUGCAGUUGCUGCUUUUCGUGGUGAAGAGUUGGAAUUGAGUCGACUUACUUUCGGUUAAGAGACUUAAAAAAUUGCAUGAUAUUCGAUGGUAUUUAUAUCUCUUACGUAGGAUUGAGAUGUCGAAUACUUUAUUAGGUUC
rnacentral:misc_RNA from 1 species